rnacentral:rRNA from 4 species
UACGGCUCAGUAACACGUGGACAACCUGCCCUUAGGACGGGGAUAAACCCGGGAAACUGGGUAUAAUACCCGAUAGGUCUCGAUUGCUGGAAUGCAUCGAGAUUUAAAGCUCCGGCGCCUAAGGAUGGGUCUGCGGCCUAUCAGGUAGUAGUGGGUGUAGCGUACCUACUAGCCUACGACGGGUACGGGUUGUGAGAGCAAGAGCCCGGAGAUGGAUUCUGAGACACGAAUCCAGGCCCUACGGGGUGCAGCAGGCGCGAAAACUUUACAAUGCUGGCAACAGCGAUAAGGGAACCUCGAGUGCCAGGUUACAAAUCUGGCUGUCGAGAUGCCUAAAAAGCAUUUCAUAGCAAGGGCCGGGCAAGACCGGUGCCAGCCGCCGCGGUAACACCGGCGGCUCGAGUGGUAACCGUUAUUAUUGGGUCUAAAGGGUCUGUAGCCGGCCGGAUAAGUCUCUUGAGAAAUCUGGCAGCUUAACUGUCAGGCUUUCAGGAGAUACUGUCUGGCUCGAGGCCGGGAGAGGUGAGAGGUACUUCAGGGGUAGGGGUGAAAUCUUGUAAUCCUUGAAGGACCACCAGUGGCGAAGGCGUCUCACCAGAACGGACCUGACGGCAAGGGACGAAAGCUAGGGGCACGAACCGGAUUAGAUACCCGGGUAGUCCUAGCCGUAAACGAUACUCGCUAGGUGUCGGCCACGGUGCGACCGUUGUCGGUGCCGUAGGGAAGCCGUGAAGCGAGCCACCUGGGAAGUACGGCCGCAAGGCUGAAACUUAAAGGAAUUGGCGGGGGAGCAC